rnacentral:rRNA from 1 species
AGAGUUUGAUCCUGGCUCAGGACGAACGCUGGCGGCGUGCUUAACACAUGCAAGUCGAACGGAAAGGCCCUUCGGGGUACUCGAGUGGCGAACGGGUGAGUAACACGUGGGUGAUCUGCCCUGCACUUUGGGAUAAGCCUGGGAAACUGGGUCUAAUACCGAAUAGGACCGCAUGCUUCAUGGUGUGUGGUGGAAAGCUUUUGCGGUGUGGGAUGGGCCCGCGGCCUAUCAGCUUGUUGGUGAGGUAAUGGCUUACCAAGGCGACGACGGGUAGCCGGCCUGAGAGGGUGACCGGCCACACUGGGACUGAGAUACGGCCCAGACUCCUACGGGAGGCAGCAGUGGGGAAUAUUGCACAAUGGGCGCAAGCCUGAUGCAGCGACGCCGCGUGAGGGAUGACGGCCUUCGGGUUGUAAACCUCUUUCAGCACAGACGAAGCGCAAGUGACGGUAUGUGCAGAAGAAGGACCGGCCAACUACGUGCCAGCAGCCGCGGUAAUACGUAGGGUCCGAGCGUUGUCCGGAAUUACUGGGCGUAAAGAGCUCGUAGGUGGUUUGUCGCGUUGUUCGUGAAAACUCACAGCUUAACUGUGGGCGUGCGGGCGAUACGGGCAGACUUGAGUACUGCAGGGGAGACUGGAAUUCCUGGUGUAGCGGUGGAAUGCGCAGAUAUCAGGAGGAACACCGGUGGCGAAGGCGGGUCUCUGGGCAGUAACUGACGCUGAGGAGCGAAAGCGUGGGGAGCGAACAGGAUUAGAUACCCUGGUAGUCC